ACCAAGUGCUUUCAACUCAGUGAUUUGCUGCAUCUGAAGAUCAAGUUCCAGGGUAUCCUAAGGCUCGCUUAUCCAAUUUUCCGCAUGCUUGGGCGCGUGACCAGUCACCACAGGCAGGCGAGGAUCAUGGUUCCCGAUGUAGAACCACCUUUUCUUCCAAUCCCCAUGGGAGUCGGUCAGAUUGUACUCAAUAUAUGCACUCGAGUUCCUGAGUUGGAACCCGG
rnacentral:lncRNA from 1 species